rnacentral:rRNA from 1 species
AAGGGGUUUGAUCAUGGGCUCAGGACGAACGUUGGCGGUGCGCUUAAUGCAUGCAAGUCGAGGGAGAACCAAUCGUUCCGUAAGGUUCGGAGGGGGAAACCGGCGAACGGGUGCGUAACACGUGAGGAACCUGCCCCGAAGAUCGGGAUAGCCCGGGGAAACCCGGAUUAAUACCGAAUACCCUCUCCGGACCGCAUGGUCUGUUGAGGAAAUGGUCCGCUGCUUCGGGAUGGCCUCGCGGCCUAUCAGCUCGUUGGUGAGGUAACGGCUCACCAAGGCAAAGACGGGUAGCUGGUCUGAGAGGACGAUCAGCCACACUGGGACUGAGACACGGCCCAGACUCCUACGGGAGGCAGCAGCAGGGAAUAUUGCACAAUGGGCGAAAGCCUGAUGCAGCGACACCGCGUGCGGGAUGAAGGCCUUCGGGUUGUAAACCGCUUUCAGGAGGGACGAAACUGACGGUACCUCCAGAAGAAGGCCCGGCCAACUACGUGCCAGCAGCCGCGGUAACACGUAGGGGCCGAACGUUGUCCGGAUUUAUUGGGCGUAAAGGGCUCGUAGGCGGUUCAACAAGUCGGUCGUGAAAUGCCGGGGCUCAACCCCGGAACGCCGGUCGAAACUGUUGUGACUAGGGUCCGGUAGAGGUGAGCGGAAUUCUCGGUGUAGCGGUGGAAUGCGCAGAUAUCGAGAGGAACACCAGUUGCGAAGCGGCUCACUGGGCCGGUACCGACGCU